rnacentral:rRNA from 1 species
CCUACGGGUGGCAGCAGUAGGGAAUCUUUCACAAUGGGCGAAAGCCUGAUGGAGCAACGCCGCGUGCAGGAUGAAGGCCUUCGGGUUGUAAACUGCUUUUAUAAGCGAGAAAUAUGAUGGUAACUUAUGAAUAAGGAUCGGCUAACUACGUGCCAGCAGCCGCGGGCAUACGUAGGAGCCGAGCAUUAUCCGGAGGGACUGGGUGUAAAGAGUUGCGUAGGUGGCAUAAUAAGUAGCUAGUGAAAUCUGGUGGCUCAACCAUUCAGACGAUUAGCUAAACUGUUAAGCUCGAGAGCGUUAGGGGUAACUGGAAUUUCUAGGGUAGGAGUGAAAUCCGUAGAGAUUAGAAGGAACACCAAUGGCGUAGGCAGGUUACUGGGACGGUUCUGACACUAAGGCACGAAAGCGUAGGGAGCAAACGGGAUUAGAUACCCCAGUAGUC